GGACCCGCACAAGCGGUGGAGCAUGUGGUUUAAUUCGACGCAACGCGAAGAACCUUACCAGGGCUUGACAUCUUGCGCUAGUCUAGGAAACUAGAUGUUCCUAUCUUUUGGUAGGACGCAAAGACAGGUGGUGCAUGGUUGUCGUCAGCUCGUGUCGUGAGAUGUUGGGUUAAGUCCCGCAACGAGCGCAACCCCUACUUUUAGUUGCCAGCAGGUUAAGCUGGGCACUCUAAAGGAACUGCCGGUGACAAACCGGAGGAAGGUGGGGAUGACGUCAAAUCAUCAUGCCCUUUAUGUCCUGGGCUACACACGUGCUACAAUGGUCGGUACAGAGGGUUGCUAAGCCGCGAGGCGGAGCCAAUCCCAAAAAACCGGUCUCAGUUCGGAUUGCAGGCUGCAACUCGCCUGCAUGAAGUCGGAAUCGCUAGUAAUCGCAAGUCAGCAUAUUGCGGUGAAUACGUUCCCGGGUCUU
rnacentral:rRNA from 1 species